rnacentral:rRNA from 1 species
AGCAGCCGCGGUAAUUCCAGCUCCAAUAGCGUAUAUUAAAGUUGUUGCAGUUAAAAAGCUCGUAGUUGAAUUUCGGGAUCAAUUUAUUGGUUGUGCAAUAGUACGUACUGGCAUUAUUGGUUCCUACCUUCUGACGAACCAUGAUGUCAUUAAUUUGGUGUUAUGGGGAAUCAGGACUGUUACUUUGAAAAAUUAGAGUGUUUAAAGCAGGCUCACGCUUGAAUACAUUAGCAUGGAAUAAUGAAAUAGGACGUUUGAUUCUAUUUUGUUGGUUCCUAGGAUCGACGUAAUGAUUAAUAGGGAUAGUUGGGGGCAUUAGUAUUCAAUUGUCAGAGGUGAAAUUCUUGGAUUUAUUGAAGACUAACUACUGCGAAAGCAUUUGCCAAGGAUGUUUUCAUUAAUCAAGAACGAAAGUUAGGGGAUCGAAGACGAUCAGAUACCGUCGUAGUC